rnacentral:rRNA from 1 species
GAAACACGGACCAAGGAGUCUAACAUGUACGCGAGUCAUUGGGCACCACGAAACCCAAGGGCGCAUUGAACGAAAAGGCGGGCCUCGUGCCCGCCGAGGGGAGAUGGGGCGGCGCUCGCGUCGCCCCCGCAUCCCCGGGGCGUCUCACCCUACCCGGGCUCGUCUCGGGAAGGAGAGGCGCACCAAGAGCGUACACGUUGGGACCCGAAAGAUGGUGAACUAUGCCUGGCCAGGACGAAGUCAGGGGAAACCCUGAUGGAGGUCCGUAGCGAUUCUGACGUGCAAAUCGAUCGUCGGAGCUGGGUAUAGGGGCGAAAGACUAAUCGAACCAUCUAGUAGCUGGUUCCCUCCGAAGUUUCCCUCAGGAUAGCUGGCGCUCGCUGUGACGAGUCCCAUCCGGUAAAGCGAAUGAUUAGAGGCCUUGGGGUCGAAACGAUCUCAACCUAUUCUCAAACUUUAAAUGGGUGGGAUCCGCGGCUUGCUUGAAUUAGUGAAGCCGCGGACUCGGAUCGGAGUGCCCAGUGGGCCACUUUUGGUAAGCAGAACUGGCGCUGUGGGAUGAACCAAACGCCGGGUUAAGGCGCCCGAAUAAACGCUCAUCCGAAACCAUGAAAGGUGUUGGUUGCUUAAGACAGCAGGACGGUGGCCAUGGAAGUCGGAAUCCGCUAAGGAGUGUGUAACAACUCACCUGCCGAAGCAACUAGCCCUGAAAAUGGAUGGCGCUGAAGCGUUUUGCCUAUACCCGGCCGCCGGUGGCAAAGGGCGCCGGCCUUCGGGCUGGCGUCGCCAAGCCCCGGUGAGUAGGAGGGUCGCGACGGUGUGCGCAGAAGGGUCUGGGCGUGAGCCUGCCUGGAGCCGCCGUCGGUGCAGAUCUUGGUGGUAGUAGCA